AAGUAUAAGAGGAGAUAGGAGACAUUUAUACGCUGAACGCGGCGUAGAAGGCGGACACCGGAGAAAGGAAUUAAUGUGAGACGCGAUUCGUUCGGGAACUUUAUUCUAAGAGUAGCUUAGACUUUGAGACAGGUUUUAGGCCAGUGAGGUUUGGUCGUAGAGGGAUGCGGAGUGGAUUUGCCAGCGACUCGCUCUGGUUGG
rnacentral:misc_RNA from 1 species